GCAAGUCUGGUGCCAGCAGCCGCGGUAAUUCCAGCUCCAAUAGCGUAUAUUAAAGUUGUUGCAGUUAAAAAGCUCGUAGUUGAAUUUCGGGAUCAAUAUUUCGGUCAUGCCGUUGGUAUGCACUGUUAUCAUUGAUUUCUCACCUUCUAAAGAACCAUAAUGCCAUUAAUUUGGUGUUACGGGGAAUUAGGACUGUUACCUUGAAAAAAUUAGAGUGUUUAAAGCAGGCUCACGCUUGAAUACAUUAGCAUGGAAUAAUGAAGUAGGACAUCCGAUUCUAUUUUGUUGGUUUCUAGGAUCGAUGUAAUGAUUAAUAGGGAUAGUUGGGGGCAUUAGUAUUCAAUUGUCAGAGGUGAAAUUCUUGGAUUUAUUGAAGACUAACUACUGCGAAAGCAUUUGCCAAGGAUGUUUUCAUUAAUCAAGAACGAAAGUUAGGGGAUCGAAGACGAUCAGAUACCGUCGUAGUCUUAACCAUAAACUAUGCCGACUAGGGAUCGGAUGAUGUUAAUUUUUUAAUGACUCAUUCGGCGCCUUACGGGAAAC
rnacentral:rRNA from 1 species